GUAGAUAUAGUUUAACGAAAACCUUAGAUUGUGGUUCUAAAAAUAAGGGUUGAACCCCCGUUAUCCACC
rnacentral:tRNA from 1 species